rnacentral:precursor_RNA from 12 species
GGCCAAGAAGAUCUAUCUGUCUUCUGUAUAUACCCUGUAGAUCCGAAUUUGUGUAAGGAAUUUUGUGGUCACAAAUUCGUAUCUAGGGGAAUAUGUAGUUGACAUAAACACUCCGCUCAUUUU